rnacentral:rRNA from 1 species
GUCCACGCCGUAAACGAUGUCUAUUAGCCGUUGGGCAGCUUGACUGUUUAGUGGCGCAGCUAACGCGAUAAAUAGACCGCCUGGGGAGUACGGCCGCAAGGUUAAAACUCAAAUGAAUUGACGGGGGCCCGCACAAGCGGUGGAGCAUGUGGUUUAAUUCGACGCAACGCGAAGAACCUUACCAGGUCUUGACAUCCUCGGAACUUUCUAGAGAUAGAUUGGUGCCUUCGGGAAUCGAGUGAC